UACGUAGGGUGCGAGCGUUGUUCGGAAUUACUGGGCGUAAAGCGCGCGCAGGCGGUUCUUCAAGUCAGAGGUGAAAGCCCAGAGCUCAACUCUGGAAUGGCCUUUGAGACUAGAGAACUAGGGUACGGGAGAGGUGAGUGGAAUUCCGAGUGUAGAGGUGAAAUUCGUAGAUAUUCGGAAGAACACCAGUGGCGAAGGCGGCUCACUGGCCCGUUACCGACGCUCAGGCGCGACAGCGUGGGGAGCAAACAGG
rnacentral:rRNA from 1 species